GAUGAACGCUGGCGGCGUGCCUAAUACAUGCAAGUCGAGCGAACGGACGAGAAGCUUGCUUCUCUGAUGUUAGCGGCGGACGGGUAAGUAACACGUGGAUAACCUACCUAUAAGACUGGGAUAACUUCGGGAAACCGGAGCUAAUACCGGAUGAUAUUUUGAACCGCAUGGUUCAAAAGUGAAAGACGGUCUUGCUGUCACUUAUAGAUGGAUCCGCGCUGCAUUAGCUAGUUGGUAAGGUAACGGCUUACCAAGGCAACGAUGCAUAGCCGACCUGAGAGGGUGAUCGGCCACACUGGAACUGAGACACGGUACAGACUCCUACGGGAGGCAGCAGUAGGGAAUCUUCCGCAAUGGGCGAAAGCCUGACGGAGCAACGCCGCGUGAGUGAUGAAGGUCUUCGGAUCGUAAAACUCUGUUAUUAGGGAAGAACAUAUGUGUAAGUAACUGUGCACAUCUUGACGGUACCUAAUCAGAAAGCCACGGCUAACUACGUG
rnacentral:rRNA from 1 species